rnacentral:tRNA from 1 species
GGAGAUGUAGUUCAAUGGUAGAACCCCAGCCUUCCAAGCUGGUCAUGCGGGUUCGAUUCCCGUCAUCUCCUCCA